AUUGGACACUACAAAUACAUAUUUGUAAUGAAUGUAGAUUUUCAAGAGACUAUAUAAAUAAAAGACAUAAGAAGACAUACAGCAAUAUAGGAAUAUAUCUAUUGCUGUUUCUGUGUAAAUGCAUUGUGUGUGAGGGUCCUAUCACCCGGUAUCUGUGGUUUACCUAACUCGGAUCUGAAUGGAUGGGGGCAGAUGCAGGUGCUCACGAUCUCCUGCUUAGAAAGCCUUACUGAGGAAGUGUUUUAGUGUGGUAAGAAACCACCUUAUUGUGAGCCAAAAUUCAAAACAUUAACUGUUAGGUGGAGGGAUUAUUGUAAAUAAACCUUUGUACAAAAUACAUAUUAAGGAACAGCACACACACAGAAAUACAAUGUUAUAUUUUACAAGGCUACUUAAAAUCACCUGUCUCAGUAAACAAAUAUGGGGAUUCAGUUCCACCACUACGCCACAGUACCCUAAAUUCGGUGGAUCCUACACUAAUGUUAACAUGGGCAGUGGUGUAUCCUGGUUUUGUGCUGCCCUAGGACUCACUGGUCCACCUACUCCUAUACCCAUGUGUAACAUGAAACACUUUAAAUGAUUACUCCAACCACCAUGACCACUUCAGUAAUUUGAAAUGGUUAUGCUGCUCGGUGUUUAUAUGUACAUCAUUUCACUAUGAAAUAUUGCACAUAGAGAGUUUAACCCCAUAAAACCCAAUCUCUGGCAGUAUCGUUGGGCAAUC